UGGCUUCUGCAGCCCACGUGACAAAAACUGGAACGCUCCAGAGAAGAUUAGCCCGGUCCCUGUGUGCGGAUGACACACAGAUCUAUAAUACGUCCUGUAUUUUU
ensembl:snRNA Gm23326 U6 spliceosomal RNA